rnacentral:lncRNA from 1 species
UCUCAGGUCGGAGGGAUAUUUAUACCCAUAUCCCAUCGGAGCAAAUCUUGACAGCAGAAAUAGCUCCGAAGUUGGUCACGUUCAGUGCAGAUGUACCAUUACAUCUCACCUGUAUGCCAUACCAGUGUCUCUACACUCUUUGGUUAUGAGGACAACCAACCCAUAUGGCAUACAAUGACCUAUGCUCGAUAAACGUUGUCGUCCUUGGUAACAACGUAUCAUUUGGUUGCGAACAUGUUUAAGGACUAAGCGAUAAAUCCUCCUUUGUCGAGUCUAAAUAGUCCUAAGGACUUCACCACAACACAGGAGUUCAUUAGAAGAUGAAACAUUUGUGAUGAAAAAAUACCAAAAUAAC